rnacentral:tRNA from 2 species
GGGGGUGUAGCUCAGCUGGGAGAGCGCUUGAAUGGCAUUCAAGAGGCCAGCGGUUCGAUCCCGCUCAUCUCCACCA